UAUACUCGGGAGUCAGACUGCGAGUGAUAAGAUCCGUAGUCGAAAGGGAAACAGCCCAGACCACCAGUUAAGGUCCCCAAAUAUAUGUUAAGUGGAAAAGGAUGUGGGGUUGCUUAGACAACCAGGAUGUUGGCUUAGAAGCAGCCACCAUUGAAAGAGUGCGUAAUAGCUCACUGGUCGAGUGACCCCGCGCCGAAAAUGUACCGGGGCUAAACAUAUUACCGAAACUGUGGAUGAACCUCUUUAGAGGUUCGUGGUAGGAGAGCGUUCUAAGGGCGGUGAAGUCAGACCGGAAGGACUGGUGGAGCGCUUAGAAGUGAGAAUGCCGGUAUGAGUAGCGAAAGAAGGGUGAGAAUCCCUUCCACCGAAUAUCUAAGGUUUCCUGAGGAAGGCUCGUCCGCUCAGGGUUAGUCGGGACCUAAGCCGAGGCCGAUAGGCGUAGGCGAUGGACAACAGGUAGAGAUUCCUGUACCAGUGCUAAUUGUUUAACCGAUGGGGUGACACAGAAGGAUAGGGAAUCGCACGAAUGGAAAUGUGCGUCCAAGCAGUGAGUGUG
rnacentral:rRNA from 1 species